UACGGGGGGGGUAAGCGUUGUUCGGAAUUACUGGGCGUAAAGGGCUCGUAGGCGGCCAACUAAGUCAUACGUGAAAUCCCUCAGCUUAACUGGGGAACUGCGUGUGAUACUGGAUGGCUUGGAUUUGGGAGAGGGAUGCGGAAUUCCAGGUGUAGCGGUGAAAUGCGUAGAUAUCUGGAGGAACACCGGUGGCGAAGGCGGCUCGCUGGGACGGUACUGACGCUAAGGCGCGAAAGCGUGGGGAGCGAACAGG
rnacentral:rRNA from 1 species